CAGGCUAACCUCAAAUUCCCUGUGUAGCAGAGGAUGCCCUUGUUCUUUUGAUCCUCCAACACCUCCCAAGUGCUGGGAGUAUAGUCAUAUGCCUCCAUGUCCUGUUUUUGCAGUGUUGGGGACAGAAGCCAGGGCUUUGUGCAUGACAGGCACAACCAAAAUAAUCCCAGUCCUAUAUUAUUUUUCUUCUUUAACAGGGGAUAACAAGAGCACAGUGGAAGGAGGGUUUCUAUGUGUGGCGCUAGAGAUUUCCCACAAGAGGUUAGUUAUAUUUACUCUGGGGCUAGAAUGAUCACACAGUUUGUCAGCUGACAACGAGAUGGGAGAAACACAUUCCAGCCCUGGGGAGAUUUCCUCUUUAAACACUGAAUGGACGACAAUUGCUUCAGCAGCCAUACUGGGCAGAGAAGGCUUCAGAAUGAAAGAUGAAUUAGUUUGCCAGGACUACGAUGACACAAUGCAACAAACUGGGUGACUUACACAAAGAAAUUUCCUCAUAGUUUUUAAGGCUGAAAAUCUGACCCCAAACUGGAUAAGUAGCUGAGGGUGACCUUGAACUUCUGAACCUCCUGCCUCCACUACUCACCCAGGAAAAUAAACAGAUCUUGGGAGGAGAUUGCCAUGUAAAAACACAGAUUUGGAAGGAAAACACAGACUCAGGAGGAAGAAAGUUUGUUUAUAUGGUGAAUCACAUCAAUUAAUUUACAUGUUUUGAGUUAUCCCUGUAUCUUUGGGAUGAAGCCUACUUGAUCAUGGUGAGUGAU